rnacentral:sRNA from 1 species
UUUUCUGUCAGAUAUCAGAUGAAAUGAGCAAAGUCAAUUACUGAUAAGGAAUCUGUCCUUUUUCUUUGCUUAAUUAAAUAUGCAAUACACCUAUGUAUCACCUAGUCUAGGGGCUAGCUGCCUGGAGGUUGUAUUGAUUUUUCAUUACCGACAUUCCCAUGUAUAAUGAGGCAGUAUUGAUUUCACCUCAGGAGUUUUAAAUCAAAUUUAGUUAAUCUUGCUUUAGCACAAAAGAAAUUUUAUUUCAGUUUAUUUUCUCUCUUUCUUUAGACAAUAGAACUACUGUCCGUGAUCAGCUUCAAAAUGUAAACAAUAACACUUUUACUUUAAUGGAUAUUUUUUUAACAUGGGUCAUCGAUUGUUUUAGGUUUUUUCUAUAGUUAAAUAACUUCAAAACACUUAGGUAAUUGUUAUUUGUUCAGUGAUGGUUAUAUGGUUUUCUUUAUUUUCAAGAGUUUAAAGGAAAUUAUUUGUUGAAGGAAAUAUCUUUUCAACAUUAUUAAAUUAUGAAAUAUUUUUAAACAAUACAGAAAAAAAUAUCCUGUAUACACAAUUUAUAUUUUGCCUGCAGAAUUUUUAUAUUGUUGAAGAGUCUAUAAGAACAAAGUUCUUUACGUACAAAUUGCCAUGAAUAUUUCAGCAGGAAUUUUAGUGCCCAAGUGCCAAAUAAAUGGAGCCUCUGUGAAUAUAUUGUAUUGCAUUGACUGUAAUCUUCAUCCUUUAUAUUGCUCUAUAAUGUGUGAAACUACGACUUUUUACUGCCAUUUAUCCUAAUUACUCUUUUAAAAACGGAAAAACAAUGUCGUCCAUUUUACUCUUCACAGCUUUUUAUCUCUACUACAUUGCAUGUUGUGAGUUUAUGAUAAUUGAGGUAGUGAUCUACGUGAUUGUUGAUUUGUUUUUUAAAAAUUUUGUUGAAUGAAACAUUUCAAAUCAUUUAUGUACUGUUAUUUUUGCAGAUUAAAGAAAUGUUUUUGAAGUGUGAUCUGUUAAUUAUAAGUCUCUCUUUUUAUUAAAAUCUUUUUUUUUUAUUUUUGUGUUUAAUCUGAUGUGUUUUAUAUAUAUUUCCACUGUUUAUUUUUUAUUAGUUUUGUAUCAUUUUGAUGAAUUUUGUAAAUAGUGGAAAUUUGACCAACCAUUGGUCUGAGAUUGCCUGUCCAUACAUUAUUGUAUAUAGAACAAACUAACAUUAUAAAUAUCAUCUCCCCAAC